UAUUACAAGAUGCGUGGUAGUGAUGGCGGCGCUCUGUGAGACUUUCCUGUCACUGGAUACUACUACUCCCAGCCCGCUUCCAAACCGCCGGAGCAACCCCCAGGUCUUUAGUUUACAAGUGGCAAUUUGACUUUCUCUGCUGCAUGUCUGGAGGGACCGAGGAAAGUCUGGAGACGCCCCGGGGAUUAAGCGAUCGCAGCUUGAAAAGAAAAAAAGCCAAACAAAUAAACAAAACCCACCCACCCUAACAAACAUGAGGCUGCUGGAGAGGCUGAGGAAAGAAUGGUUCAUGAUCGGAAUAGUGCUGGCGAUCGCCGGAGCCAAACUGAAGCCGUCCAUAGGGGUGAAUGGGGGACCACUGAAGCCAGAAAUUACUGUAUCCUACAUUGCUGUUGCUACAAUAUUCUUUAACAGUGGACUAUCAUUAAAAACGGAGCUUCUUAAAGCUAUUCUGUAAAGCAGCCAAUUUUGUGGAAUGCAGGAGUUGAAGAAGGAAGAAUGUCACAGCUAUUAGCAUUUCUCUAAGAACCGACUUCUUUUGUAAGCACCUAAGAAACCUUCAGCUUCAACCAGCUAAUUUGGAUCUAAUGAUGAAAUGCCUUGAUCGCAUGCUUUAUCAUGGUAUCUAAGUGGUCAUCAAACCAUUACCUGCAUCAAAGGCCCUUUUCAAACAAAUACAACAUUAAGUUCUUUUCAAAACCAUUUAACCUAGAUUGCCUCAUUGUGUAAUAUUAAACCACUUCUAAGCCCUGCUAAUUUCCUGAGUAAUUUAACUUGUAAAUUAGGAGGUAGCAAUC